GCCGAUGUAGCUCAGAGGUAGAGCGGCUGAUUUGUAAUCAGCUGGCCGGGGGUUCGAAUCCCUCCAUCGGCUCCG
rnacentral:tRNA from 1 species